GUCCGCGUAGCUCAGCUGGAUAGAGCACUCGCCUUCUAAGCGAAUGGUCGCGUGUUCGAAUCACGCCGUGGACACCA
rnacentral:tRNA from 1 species